rnacentral:lncRNA from 1 species
GCCACUGCACUCCAGCCUGGGCGACGAGUAAGACUCUGCCUAAAAAGCCAUCUGUCCACUGGGAAAACAUAAGAAGGACACAAUACUUGGGAAGGAAGCACACUGUCACCCUGGCAGAAGGAAAGCAGGGCAGCUCUGAGCGAGCGUGAGGGAGCACAGCCACCCUGCAGCCUGCUGGGAACACCAUGGGCUUGGACUAGUGAGUCGGUGGUGACGGCUCACCUGAAAGCUCUAGGUUUCCCCAGAGAUUCUUUCCUCCCCUAAAAGGUAUCGUUUUCCAAGUAGUGGAUGUUGACUCACUAGUUACCUCUGUUUUACACCUUUUGAAAGCAAUCAAAGAAGACUUCUACUGAGGAUACACAUUUGAUUCGCUGCCUUGGAAGUGAGGCUGGGUUGUUUCAUUUCACUUUAUGAAUGGAAUUCAUUUUGCCCCAGCCAAGCCCUGUAUCCACUGGAAGCCCUAAGGACUUUCAGUCCUCGUCCUGACCGUUCAUUCUCUUUUGCCAUAGCACUGGAAGGGCUCUCAAGAGACUAUUUUUAUCUUUAGUUGAUAUCGUCUGGCUUUACCUUUAAUCCACAAAAGAAUAUGCUACAGACACACGUAGCAACCUAGCAUGGAGCGUAAUAGCUAGCAAAACCUUUCUUCUUCCUAAACUAAAUCGCGUGGGCUGCAAGUGAAAUCUGCUCCUCACUCCCUCUCCAGGGGACACCCUUACCUUUCCAUUGGGGCUCUUCUUGUUAGCGGGGUACAGAAAUAUCCCUCCGUAGACCAGAGUGCGAUGAACAUCAGCCACCAUGGAGCCCACAUACCGGGCCCCAUAAGGAGCUGAAUUAUCCUGCAAGUUAAGACCAGCAAGAAUUAGGAUUGCAGAAAAUAAGAAAGAGAGUUUUCUUGGUGUCUCCUAAGUUUCUUUGAUUCCACAUCCAUUCACCGAGCACCUACAAGGUAUGUAUUUGGGGCUGUGCUAAAAAAUGUGAUGAGAAUCCUGUUCCCAAUAAAUAGAAAAUGGAAAAAUGGAGACAGCCUCUCAUCAUCUCACAAUAGGUCAGAUUGCCCACAGAAGCCCCAACGAGGGUAUGGUUGAUUCUGGUUAUGGGGCUGAGGCAGGCAUUACAGAAACUGUACCAUUUAGUAACACCUUAAAGGCUGAGAAAGUUUGUUACCAAGCUAAGGAACCGGGCAGGGGUGGGAGGCAGUGUGUAAUUUACAGGAGAGGAAACUGCACAAGUGUCUGCUUAGCAAUGUGGAGAGGGAUAUGGUCCUGGAGGAGGAGCCUGUGGGACUCGGGUGUGCGUGUGCGGAGCUUGGGGGCAGGAGGGGAAUCCAGGAUAAGGUGAAAGGAGAGAUGAGUAAGCUGGAGAGAAAGCCUGGGGCAGAUCUGAGGCCUCCUUGAACGUCCUGCAAACAUUUGAGCUUCAUCUCUAGCAAACAGCAGCCAUCGAUGGCUUUUAAACAAAGAAAGGACAAAAUCAGAUAUUCCAUAUAGAGCAAGCUCCACACAGCCAUUUCUUCUCUUCAUAUUCACUAGCUUGUAACCUCUUUAGGGAGAUGUCACGAUGGGCACUCUCGGUCUCGAGAUAACUGAUAGAUGCACCUCAGGCAGGCCUAGCAAGGGGCAGACACCACUUGACGGGCAUUUGAGUGGGGGAACCACAUUUCAUCCCAUCUGGGACCAUGGACCCCAGAAGGGAAGAUGUUUUACUGCCAUGAAUUCAUUCAUUUGUUUAACUUUAUUAUCCUAAUUUUCUUCUGCCAAGAGAAAGUAGCAAAGGCUGACAUGGAGACUGAUUUUUGAUGUCUCAGGGUGAGAAUUCCAGUCUCCAGUACUGAGGUGAGAACUUCAUCGUGGGCUCAGUGUAGACGGAAGCCCAAUCCACUCCAUCCCUGCUUCCUUUCACCUUUAGGAUUCCUGCAGCUGAGCGUAAGCAGGGGCAUCUGUAUCACGCAGCUGGAGAAGGAAGUCAUCCCAGCAAAACAUUCCAGACCACCCUCACUAAUGCAGGAGGAACUGGAAACUGGAACACAGGAAGCUGCCUAUCAUGAAGGCCCAUGAUAGACAAGAGAAGUCCGGCGUGAGUGAUGGAGAAUAUUAAACAACAAAUCUAAGCCAUACGCCUAAAGCUGCCAAAGACCUUGAAAGGCCCAGCUGAGAAAAACAUGAACUUCAAGUCUGGCAUGUACGGCUAUUUUAGGAAUGAUGAAAAACAACUUCAUCAGAUGUGGCUCCUGCCCUCUUAAUAGGGUGAGGACAGGCAGCCUCUUCAUCUUCUCAUUGUUUUUUCCUAAUUCUACUCCUUCAUGUUCCCAGUUCCUCUCAAACUGGGAAAGAUAGUAAGC